rnacentral:rRNA from 1 species
UACGGAGGGUGCAAGCGUUAUCCGGAUUCACUGGGUUUAAAGGGUGCGUAGGUGGGCUGAUAAGUCAGCGGUGAAAUCUCCGGGCUUAACCUGGAAACUGCCAUUGAUACUAUCAGUCUUGAAUCUCGCGUAGGUAAGCGGAAUAUGUCAUGUAGCGGUGAAAUGCUUAGAUAUGACAUAGAACACCAAUUGCGAAGGCAGCUUACUUCACGAGUAUUGACACUGAGGCACGAAAGCGUGGGGAG